GGAAACAAUAACCAGAGAGUUACUGGGUGUAGACAGGUCCUCGUUGUAGCACAGAAGCCAACCAGACCUAACAUCACCGGACCUGCCUCACCUGUAUCAGGUGAGAAUGUCACCCUGACAUGCUCCUCCUCCUCCCGGAGUCUACCCCUGGACCAUCCCCCACUGACCUUGACCUACAUCUGGAGGAGGAACAGGACCCGGGUAGAAUCUGGUGAUGUGUCUCCUACAGGUGGAGAUGACCUGACAAUAACCCACAUCAGCAGAGAGAACCAUGGAGACAUCUACAGCUGCCAGGCUGUGGAGGAGGGGCUGAAGUCUAACUGGAGUCACGGACAUGUACUGGAUGUUCUCUAUGGACCUGACAAGAUACAGUUUGACGGCACAAGUGACAAGCUGGAGGUAGAAGAAGGGAAACCUGCAGCUGUGAGAUGUUCUGCUGACUGUAACCCUGCCUGUACUGUAACCUGGUGGGACAUCUCCAGACAGACGGUGAUUACAGGA